rnacentral:tRNA from 1 species
GCCUUCGUGGUUCUGGUGGUAUGAUUCUCGCUUCGGGUGCGAGAGGUCCCGGGUUCGAUUCCCGGUGAGGCCC